rnacentral:lncRNA from 1 species
CAGAGGGUUCUCACGUGGGUGACAGACCAUGAGAUUUCCUUUUGUGAUUUUGGGUACAUUUCAAUUCUUCAAUAUUCAAUAUAAUGAUGUUCCUUUAUCUUUUAUAUUCUUUGCCUUGCAAUUUCGAUUUCUGCAUAUUACCUUUAUGAUUCAUGCAAUUUAGUUUCUUGUUCUUAGUUCUUUGAUUGUUUCUUAUUUUGUUUUUCCAUUUUUUUUUCUUUUUUUGAUGCAUGUGAUAG